GACGAAGGGGGCUAGCGUUGUUCGGAAUUACUGGGCGUAAAGCGCGUGUAGGCGGUUAUCCAAGUCAGGUGUGAAAGCCUUGAGCUCAACUCAAGAAAUGCACUUGGUACUGGGUGACUAGAGGACCGGAGAGGAUAGUGGAAUUCCCAGUGUAGUGGUGAAAUACGUAGAGAUUGGGAAGAACACCAGUGGCGAAGGCGGCUAUCUGGACGGUUUCUGACGCUAAGACGCGAAAGCGUGGGGAGCGAACAGG
rnacentral:rRNA from 1 species